rnacentral:lncRNA from 1 species
GUUAAUGAAUACUCAGGAAGAUAUGGAUAUACUUUCUCUCUUUUUUAGACGUGAAUCCAAAGCAUAGAGCGGGACUCAGUUGCUGACCCGUUCAUGUUCAACACCCGUUGCAGUGCCUUAGGUUGCCUCAGGCAUCUGCAUUAGGCUGGCAGAUAUGAUGCAGACCUGAGGGAGAACAGACAGCUUUCUGGAGUAGGUGCUGGAUGACAGACAGGGAGCAUUCACAGAGUCUAAAAUGACAUUACAUAGCUAUCUUUGAGCAAUUAAAUCCUCCUUUACUUUUCCUCCUUCACUUUAUCUAUGGUUACGUGGAAUUUCUUUGGUAAGAUCUGCAAUAGAAUUUGGGAUUUUUCUAGUUCUUCAGUGCCAUGCUCAAAGUACUAGGUGGUCUCUGCAAUCCAUCUUGAUAGAGCUGUGUCAUGUAGCAGAAAUACUCUCGCAGUCACGUCGUAGAAACGUAAAUUAAUAAUGGAAACUUUUUCCAGUGCUGAAUAAAAACAAACAGUAAGUGUCAAGCAUUAAUUAACAAUGUAAUGAGAAUAUAAUGAGACUUCGGUUCAGGCAUGUGCUUUUUUUUAACAGAAUGUCUUUUCUUUGUUGUAUUGCAGAAGAAGAAAUGGUGACUGAGUUGUACAGAAGAACCAGGACAAUCCAAAAAGGGCAGGUGGCUGCUGGGAAGCUACUACAGGAAAGGAGUUUACUAACGUGUUCAAGACCUGGAAUUAUGCAGUGGAGCAGUAUAUUUUAGAAACUAUGGAGAAAGUUCAGAACAACAUGGUUAAAAGUCAGCCAUGUGUUUCAGUUGUGAUUGCUGUCACUGUAGAGGCAUGUAGGUUGUCUCCUUUGCCUAAUAUAAAAAAUAUGUAUGUAUAAUAAUACUUUUUUAAUGCUUUCCAUCUGGGGAUUUCAAAGAUACUUUGCACACUUUUGUAUUCAUGACACCUUGUUUGACUAUUAUUCUGUUUUAUGGAUGGAGAUUCCAGUGCAUGGACUUGUUAAAGUACAGUUCUGAUGCAAAAAAUUCUCAGAAUGGCUUAUUAUUUACUGCCAAAAAUAAAGUUUCGCUAUUCUUCUGUCUUGCUCA